rnacentral:lncRNA from 1 species
AGGUUGUAAGAAAAUGCCAUUAAUCCACACUAAUAUAUGUUGAUUGCCGCCUAAGAAUCCUCGGCUUACCUCGCCAAAAGUCACCUUAUUCCAGUUGGUAGAUCUCUAGAUAUUACAAAAAUCCUAAACAACCUCAAUCUCCUAACUUUCAAUAUCUCUUUACACUAAUGGUCAAAUAUCCUCUAUCUGUUCCAUCUGAUUAACACAAACUUUUGCAUGCACUCAACAUAAUAAACUCUCUAGAUACCUCUAAAUUUCAACUGCAAAAGUUUCUCCAAUUUCACAAAAUAGUCAAGAGUAUCAGUUGUUAUUUUAUUACAAAAAAUCCAAUUCACCAAUACAAAC